AUCAUAAGGAGCCUGGACUUACCAUUUGAAGGUGGUAGAAAACGGCGACCUUCAAAUGGGAAAUCCAGCUUCCUUCUGAU
rnacentral:pre_miRNA from 1 species